CACGUAGGGUGCGAGCGUUGUCCGGAAUUAUUGGGCGUAAAGGGCGCGUAGGCGGCCUGCUAAGUCGAACGUGAAAUCCCCGGGCUCAACCCGGGAACUGCGUCCGAUACUGGCAGGCUUGAAUCCGGGAGAGGGAUGCGGAAUUCCAGGUGUAGCGGUGAAAUGCGUAGAUAUCUGGAGGAACACCGGUGGCGAAGGCGGCAUCCUGGACCGGCAUUGACGCUGAGGCGCGAAAGCCAGGGGAGCAAACGGG
rnacentral:rRNA from 1 species